rnacentral:rRNA from 1 species
GGCAGAACAACGAACGCUCCUGGCCGUCCUGCGCUUGUAUACACGACCACUAGUUAGUGGCCAUAGGAGUCGGAGUCGAAGCCCCUAUGGCCAAGCAAAAGGCCCCGCUUCCGGUGAUCCGCCGCCGCAUAGGCGGUGUCGGUUUGUUGCGCUGGGCGGUGCGGGUCGCCUCCAGCAUAGUGCUCUGGACGGCGCUCCUCCAGCUCUCCACCUUCUUCGGUCUUCCCCUCUCGCCGCUCCGCGCCGCCCGCCCGUCCUGCAUAGGGAACCGCAAUGCCUCUGCAACCGCCUCCGCCGUAACCGCCGUCGCCUCCGACGAUGUAGGGGACCUUGCGCACCCAGCUCUACCUACCAGGAGAUCUUACAAAAGUAACGGUUAUCUUCUUAUUUCAUGCAAUGGCGGUCUGAACCAAAUGCGAGCUGCGAUCUGUGACAUGGUAACUGUAGCACGCUAUUUGAAUCUGACCAUGGUUGUACCUGAACUUGAUAAGCAAUCCUUCUGGGCUGAUCCUAGUGAUUUUGGAGAUAUAUUUGAUGUGAAUCAUUUCAUCUAUUCUUUAAGAGAUGAGGUGAAGGUUAUCAGAGAACUCCCACAGAAGUUUAAUGGGAAAGUUCCAUUAUCAAUGCAACCAGUCAGCUGGUCUAGUGAGAAAUACUAUUUGAGACAGAUCUUGCCUCUUGUACGAAAGCACAAGGUUAUACGUUUUAGCAGGACAGAUUCUCGCCUUGCGAACAAUGGCCUUCCUCUGAGGCUCCAAAAGCUUCGCUGCCAUGUUAACUACAAUGCAUUAAGAUUUACACCAUCCAUUGAGGCCCUAGGCAACAAGAUGAUAUCGAGUCUCAGGAAAACUGGAUCUUUUGUUGUGCUUCAUCUGAGAUAUGAGAUGGAUAUGCUCGCCUUCUCUGGCUGUACACACGGAUGUUCUGGUCAAGAAACAGCAGAGCUCACGAGAAUGAGGUAUGCAUAUCCCUGGUGGAAAGAAAAGGAAAUAGACUCUGAGAAGAAAAGGCUCGAGGGACUCUGCCCGCUUACACCUGGGGAAACAACAUUAGUGCUCAAAGCUCUUGGUUUCCCCAGGGACACUAGGAUAUAUAUUGCCUCAGGUGAAAUCUAUGGUGGUGAAAAAAGAUUAGCUGCAUUAAAGGCAGAGUUCCCUAACAUCGUGCGUAAGGAGAUGCUUUUAUUUGAAGAUGAGCUACACCUCUUCCAAAAACACUCGACUCAAAUGGCAGCCCUGGACUAUCUUGUUUCUGUCGCGAGUGAUGUCUUUAUUCCCAGUAAUGAUGGAAACAUGGCUAAAGUUGUGGAAGGACACCGCAGGCAUGUCUAUUUCUGACCUUCCUAAUAUGAGCAUAUUUUCUUCUUGCCACCAUGUGUAUGUGUUAUUAUGACAUGAUUAGCUGGGUGGGAAGUCUAGUGUUGUACAGCUAUCGUAUGGAUGUAGAUGUUUGCUUUGAAGAAUCGCAGCUAUAAUGAGCAAGAGUAAAAUGAACACCCCUAGGUUAACUGAGAGGUGUAUAUGUUGCAAAUGCAGGUUUAUGGGCUUCCACAGGACUAUACAGCUUGAUAGGAAGAAGCUGGUUGAGCUUAUAGAUCUUUUUGAAGACCAGGAGCUGUCAUGGAAUGAAUUCUGUACUGCUGUCAAGGAGCUACAUGAGGGCCGAAUGAGCCAGCCCACGAGAAGAAAAGUCAUCGCAGGGCAGCCUAAGGAAGAAGACUACUUCUAUGCAAACCCUUAUGAGUGUCUUGGGCCUGCUAGAAAGAGAAGAGAAAAGCUAAAACAUACCGAGACAUAAACACUACACUUGGGUGCCCGAUUGAUCGGUAUAGAAGGCUGAAGUUAAAAACGGUAACACGGUUUGACAGCCACAUCUAGAUGCCCAUCCUAGUAACCUGAUCAACUGACUGCAGUAGUGGCAUAACAGUCUUCAGCAGCCACCUCAUGUACCUAAGACAUGCUCAUAUUUUUUAGCCGAGCCUCCACUCAUGAAGUUGUAACAUCAUGAGCAACGUAUAGCUUAGCAGAGUAUUCUUCUGGAUUGGAUGAUCCACACGGGGGGUGAAGGAGCCUAUGCCACCCAGAGGCUUGAUGAGGGUUUCCCAGUACUUCAGGAUAUCUGAUGGUGCGGCCUUACUCAGCUGUAAGUGCAUCAUGUGAGUGAACUGUAAUGUGUCGCACCAGAUGCUAUGUUGUAGUGUUAGAUUGCAGCAUUUGCUUUUGAUGUACAUGUGUUGAACUCCUCGAAUGGAAAAUGCACUGCAUCUUUUUUGUAAGUGCAAAUGACUGGCAUGCCGAUGCAAGGCAUUCAGCUGAUAUGACACUAUGGCAUGCAUGUUUUGUAGACGUACUACACAGGUGCCGCACACCAUCUCAAUUCUUGAUUUGUGCCGGAAUAGGAGGCUUCCCAGAUCGAUCUGAAUGCUGACCGUCCGAUCUGUUGGUCCAAGCUGACGCGUCGUGAUCCUGUCCGUUCGUUCGCUCCAGUUAUGAUUCGGUGUGGUGCUCCUCUCGUUCGCCCCUCUCGUUUACAGGUGGGACCAGAAACGCCAACGUGGGUGCCUCUCCUCUCGCUGGGUGCAUGUUUGGGUGUGGGUGGGUGCGGGCGCUUCACGUGUCGGGGGGAGGGAGUUGCGGUGUGGUGCUCCUCCCGUUCGCCCCUCUCGUUUACAGGUGGUACCAGAAGCGCCAACGUGGGUGGGUG